AAAGGAUGACAUAGACAUUAUUGU
rnacentral:siRNA from 1 species